UACGGAGGGAGCUAGCGUUGUUCGGAAUUACUGGGCGUAAAGCGCACGUAGGCGGCUUUGUAAGUUAGAGGUGAAAGCCCGGGCUCAACCCGGAAUUGCCUUUAAGACUGCAUCGCUUGAAUCCGGAGAGGUGAGUGGAAUUCCGAGUGUAGAGGUGAAAUUCGUAGAUAUUCGGAAGAACACCAGUGGCGAAGGCGGCUCACUGGACCGGUAUUGACGCUGAGGUGCGAAGCGUGGGAGCAAACAGG
rnacentral:rRNA from 1 species